rnacentral:lncRNA from 1 species
AUGUUUUAUAGAAUUGAAAAUCUCUACUGGAAGUGUCAAACCGUGGUUCUAUCAGGGUCCAUAGGAAAAGUCCCACUCCCUUCAGCGGGACCAGGACUGCUCAUCCUUCCCAAAGCUCAGAGCGACUGCUCUGCAGCUGCUCCUGGUUGUGGGGUGCUCCGUGUUUCCUCCUCUGCCUUUCCACCGCAGCUCGGGUGCCGCCCGUGCUCAUUCUCUCUCAGCUCCCCGCUCGCACUGGCUCUCAGCUCUGCUCGGAUCCUUGCCCUGGGAGCUGUACCUGUCACUUGCAGAGUUUACCUGCUCUCCCUGCUACAGCCGAGGUGCACAAGAGCGAGCGUGGGGACUGUAAAACAGCACGAGGCAGGACGACUCUGUAGGGGCUUGAACAACUUUCCACAGCAGGCAGCACAGAAGACUGGGUCCAAAAGGUGUCUGAUGCCCACUGGAGGUAACGACCAUGAAAUCCGGCUUGCAAGUGGAACCUGCAAACCUCUUCCAGGAACGAGGCCCUGUGGGUUCCUGAAAAAGACAAUUUCUAUUAAGGUCUGACAGAGCUCACUUGGAGAGAAGGCAGCAUGGCAACUCCUGUAUGCAAUCUAGUUGCAGGGUGAGAGAAUACUGCAGCUGGCUGUGGUUAAAGAAUUUGUUGUGGUACCUUCUGAUCUUUCUUCCUGAAGAAUUAAAGAGUGCUCUUGCGACAACAGCUCUAACAGGCUUUGGGAUAAGCCAUGGGCUCUUUCACUGGUGAUAGAGACUGCACAUUAUGCAAAUUGUCUCCUGCAAAUUUACAGGAAUUUCCGCCCUUAAAGGCCUAAUUUAUGAUAGUGUUUGACAUUUUUUUUCCCCUGGAUUUUAAAACUACGAUAUUCCUCUGUUGUGCUAAAAAUUACAUUACUGAUGAUAGACAUCUUUCAGUAUAAAGGAUUCUCC